rnacentral:lncRNA from 1 species
AUAUUGAAUUGUAUUAUGUUUAAUGGUACAAAAUGAGCAUAAAAUAGCUGUAUUAUGUUUAAUGGUACAAAAUGAGCAGAAAAUAGUAAACAAUGGCAUUUUGAAGGAUUCUGUCCACGAUACAAAGAUUAAAGUUUAAUCAUGUGGAGUUGCAUCAUAAAAUUUCCACCCAAGUGACAAUCAGAUUUGUCUGAAAGACCCCUCUGUUAGUGGAGUAAAGGAUGGAUCAGAGGAGAGGGAGAACAGAGACAGGGAGAGGGGGAGUCAAAAAAUGGAGCUGUUGCAGGAUAAAGGCGGUGAGGCGUGAUGAGGGUUUGUAUUAGGGCAGGAGCUACAGAAAUGGAGAGGGAGAGACAAAUACAAGACAGAUCAAAAAAUCAAAGUCAAUGAGACUUCCUGAUAGAUUACAUAUGGGGCAUGUAGGGAAAACAGUAUGUAAAGCAAGUGAUCUAUUGCAAUGGAUUAAAUGUUUGUGUCCCCGCAAAGUCAUAUUUGACUAACCCCCAAUGGGAUGGUAUUAAAAGGUGGAAUCUUUGGGAGGUAAUCAGGGAUACACCGAGGGUAACCAAACCAUAGUCAAUGCACCUGGAGACAGGGAUGCACCGAGGGUAACCAAACCAUGGUCAAUGCACCUGGAGACAGGGAUGCACCGAGGGACCAAACCACGGUCAAUGCACCUGGAGACAGGGAUGCACCGAGGGUAACCAAACCACGUUCAAUGCGCCUGGAGACAGGGAUGCACCGAGGGUAACCAAACCACGGUCAAUGCACCUGGAGACAGGGAUACACCGAGGGUAACCAAACCAUAGUCAAUGCACCUGGAGACAGGGAUGCACCGAGGGUAACCAAACCAUGGUCAAUGCACCUGGAGACAGGGAUGCACCGAGGGACCAAACCACGGUCAAUGCACCUAGAGACAGGGAUACACCGAGGGUAACCAAACCAUAGUCAAUGCACCUGGAGACAGGGAUACACCGAGGGUAACCAAACCAUAGUCAAUGCACCUGGAGACAGGGAUGCACCGAGGGUAACCAAACCACGUUCAAUGCGCCUGGAGACAGGGAUGCACCGAGGGUAACCAAACCACGGUCAAUGCACCUGGAGACAGGGAUACACCGAGGGUAACCAAACCAUAGUCAAUGCACCUGGAGACAGGGAUGCACCGAGGGUAACCAAACGAUGGUCAAUGCACCUGGAGACAGGGAUGCACCGAGGGACCAAACCACGGUCAAUGCACCUGGAGACAGGGAUGCACCGAGGGUAACCAAACCACGGUCAAUGCACCUGGAGACAGGGAUGCACCGAGGGUAACCAAACCAUGGUCAAUGCACCUGGAGACAGGGAUGCACCGAGGGUAACCAAGUCAUAGCCAGGAUGUUUCUCACAGUGUAGCUUCUCAUUACUUUGGUCUUUGCACCUUUACCAAGUGCACAUGAGAAUUAUUAGAUGAGGGAGGGAAUGUAGAAAUGGGAUGCAGAAAUGAAAAAUGUAGACAUGAACACCUGCCUCAUGACAUUUAAGGCUUGCUUUUAUUUUAGUAAACAUCACUGGGCAAAAC